rnacentral:rRNA from 1 species
ACCCGCUGAAUUUAAGCAUAUAAGUAGGCGGUGGAAAAUGAACCAAAUGGGAUUCCUUAAGUAAUUGCGAAUGAACAAGGAAAUGCUCAGCUUGAAAAAUGGGGCCUUUGGCUUUGAAUUGUAAUUUUGAAAUGUAUUGCCAAUGGAGGCGCAGGUGCAAGCCUAUUGAAAGAAAGCGUCAAUGAGGGUGAGAUUCCUUUUUGUCAUUUGCAGUCCUCCGUGCACGGUAUAUAUUUGACGAGUCACACUCCUCGGCAUUGGAAUGCAAAGUGGGUGGUAAAUUCCAUGUAAAGGUAAAUAUAUUAUUGAGACUGAUAGCAAACAAGUACCAUGAGGGAAAUAUGAAAAGGACUUUGAAAAGAGAAUUAAAAGAGUCUGCAUUUGCUGAACAGAAAGCAAACAGAAUUGAUUUUACUUGGUGAGAUUGUUGUGCUUACUCUAUCAUUUAUAUGGUUGAUGUGGGUGCGAUGGUUCUUACCUUGAAUGUCAGCUUCUAUUUCUGCAAAUCAUUACCCUUGCACAUGAAUGGUAAUUUGCCUGCGGGUAUUGGAAUGCAUGUGUUUGCAAUGAUUUGUGAUUUGACGCAUGUGUUUGGUGAAAUUUGUAUAUGCUCUUUUGUCGAAGGGGAAAGCUUACUUUUUUGAGCAUUGCAAGCCCUUACACAUCAGUGCUGGCAAAAUGUUUCUGCUUGACCCGUCUUGAAACACGGACCAAGG